ACCGACGGAAACUAUAAUAAAAAGAAUCGCAUACUUACUGUGUGACUGUUUACAACAUAUAUAUGGAUGCCGACCAUGCAAUUUUUACAAGAAUCAAAUUGCGUUGUCUUUGGUUAAUUCAUAUCCUAUUUUGGCCGCUGAGUCUGAUGUGCCACAGGCUCUGUGGUUUCAUGCACAUGCUAGGGGAGUAAAUCGUCAUGCUGGGCGUAUUUACUACCGGAUGGAGUAUUUGGCAAGAAAAUCAAAUGAUCGCAUCAAAAAA